UGGGGAAUCUUGCGCAAUGGGCGAAAGCCUGACGCAGCGACGCCGCGUGUGGGAAGAAGGCCUUCGGGUUGUAAACCACUUUCAGGAGGGACGAAGCCACUCGGGUGAAUAGCCCAGAGGGUGACGGUACUUCCAGAAGAAGCCCCGGCUAACUACGUGCCAGCAGCCGCGGUAAUACGUAGGGGGCAAGCGUUGUCCGGAUUUAUUGGGCGUAAAGCGCGUGUAGGUGGCCAUACAGGUCCGUUGUGAAAACUCCAGGCUCAACUUGGAGACGUCGAUGGAAACCGUAUGGCUAGAGUCCGGAAGAGGAGACUGGAAUUCCUGGUGUAGCGGUGAAAUGCGCAGAUAUCAGGAAGAACACCCGUGGCGAAGGCGGGUCUCUGGGACGGUACUGACACUG
rnacentral:rRNA from 1 species